GAUCUAUUAGCUUAGUUGGUUAGAGUGUUGGAUUAAUAAUCUAAAAGUUAAAAGUUUGAUUCCUAUUUUGAACC
rnacentral:tRNA from 1 species